rnacentral:rRNA from 1 species
GACGAACGCUGGCGGCGUGCUUAACACAUGCAAGUCGAACGGAAAGGCCCUGCUUUUGUGGGGUGCUCGAGUGGCGAACGGGUGUGUAACACGUGAGUAACCUGCCCUUGACUUUGGGAUAACUUCAGGAAACUGGGGCUAAUACCGGAUAGGAGCUCCUGCUGCAUGGUGGGGGUUGGAAAGUUUCGGCGGUUGGGGAUGGACUCGCGGCUUAUCAGCUUGUUGGUGGGGUAGUGGCUUACCAAGGCUUUGACGGGUAGCCGGCCUGAGAGGGUGACCGGCCACAUUGGGACUGAGAUACGGCCCAGACUCCUACGGGAGGUAGCAGUGGGGAAUAUUGCACAAUGGGCGGAAGCCUGAUGCAGCAACGCCGCGUGCGGGAUGACGGCCUUCGGGUUGUAAACCGCUUUCGCCUGUGACGAAGCGUGAGUGACGGUAAUGGGUAAAGAAGCACCGGCUAACUACGUG